rnacentral:misc_RNA from 1 species
GAUGAAGAACGUAGCGAAAUGCGAUACUUGGUGUGAAUUGCAGAAUCCCGUGAACCAUCGAGUCUUUGAACGCAAGUUGCGCCCGAAGCCACCAGGCCGAGGGCACGCCUGCCUGGGCGUCACACGCCGUUGCCCCCCCAUCUACUCCUUCGGGAUUGCGGGGGGGCGGAUGAUGGCCUCCCGUGCGCCUAGCCGCGCGGUUGGCAUAAAUACCAAGUCCUCGGCGACGCACGCCACGACAAUCGGUGGUUGCGAAACCUCGGUUGCCCGUCGUGUGCGUUCGUCGCGCAUCGAGGGCUCGAAAAAAUGCUCGGCUCCGGCUGGGCUUUCAACGCGACCCCAGGUCAGGCGGGGUUACCCGCUGAAUUUAAGCAUAUCAAUAAGCGGAGGA